UAGUUUGACCGUUUGGUCAGAGUUUGCGAGUGAUUGACAGCCGGCUCUCAUAGACAGCAGAUGGACAGCAGACCCCAGAUCAGCUCUGACUGCUUGUUUUCUUCCAGUCUGUGAGAUCUUGCAGAUGCUGAUAGGAGCACCGGAGGACA